GCAGACUGUGAGACUGCAGCAGCUCAAGGUAAUGGGGCAGUGUGAAGGUGCAGACAAAUUGCAAGCAUUCCAGUCCUGGGAUGCUCAGCCUUGUCCUGAGACCUGUCAGGACCCAGAUAAGGCAUUUAUCUCUCUGUAAGGCAGAGCAGCCUAGAGUGGCAAUGCAGAUUUUUCAUGGAUUCAUUAGUAUUUGACAUGAACUGGUUGGUGUUCAGCAACUUUUGGGGUUUUUCCCAGAAGGAGUUGAAGGCAGUUUUUAAACACAGAGCUGCUCAGCCAAGGCAGUUGUGCAAAUAAACAUCCAUUAUAACAGACUAGCGUUUUAUGAUAAUGUUAUUUGUUUUGGACCAUGCACAGACAACAGUAUCUUGUGUUUUCAUUGGUGGGAGGCCGUAACUUGCUAACAUGUUACCAAACAUUCCCCAUAUGUGGUGCUUCUGCUGUAGCUGAUACAGUGGGAGACAGAGCCUUUCAACCUUGUGACUGACAGUUUUAAUGUAACAUCUCAUUUGGAUAUGUUUCAUGUGGCACUCUGCAGUACCUGUGCUUUUGGGGGUGCUUCGAAAAGCUGAUGAAAUAUGUUGCUUUCUGCCCAGGGCACUGAGGUUUCUUUGUAAAGCAAAGGAUGUGAAGCAACUGUGUUCCCUACGCUCCUCGGUGUCGACUCUGUACACAGCCCCUGCAAUAGGUGUGUCUGGGAGAUCUCUUGACUGAUUACGGAAUGGACUGUUUCCCACUUGGAGGGGGUAUACAUUGUUGUGCACCUCCCAAAGAAAACUGGGAGCCAGGUUCUGUCAAUCUGCAGUGUGUGAACCUGGAAUGAGGCUGUCAGCGCUACUCAGGGAAGUGAUGGAGCUCCCAGCCCAUGAGCAUGGAGUUUCCCCAUGGACUCUUCCACUGAAAAAGAGUUGGAUGAACGGAGACAGACAGAUAUUCCACUGCAGACUUCCCUAUUUUACUAAUAUAAGAUUGCUGUUCAGACAGAAAUGUCCAUGUUGGCUCAUGAUGAAUCCACAGUCUAUAUGCAGCUCUUGAGAGAUAUUUCCGUAUCCUGAAAUAACAGGAGUCUUGUGAUGCGUCACUUCAUGACCCUGCGGUGCUCCACAACUCGUAGGAUGAAGGACUGAUGUUACAACAUGGUUGUACAACAGAACAGUCACUGUGCAACAAUCCUUCAUUUAAAGUCAAUACAACCGAACUAAGGAGUUAAUAAGACUUGCACCCUCCCAUGCCAGGAGGCACCAACGCUGCCACAUCACUCCACAAAAGGCAAUGAAUUCUUUUUGUACUUCAGCUGCAUUUCAGGUCUGAUGUGAUGAGUUCAUGUACCUGUCACUUCCCUGGGAUAUGAGCAGCUGCCAGAAACCCCUCUGGCUGCCGUCAGUCUGGCUCAAGACACCUUGUCAGAGUGGCUCAAACAGAAGAGAGUGCUGUUUGUAUCCAUAUAGCAUUCAAACCCCACUGUUGUCAGAGCAAGGAAUCAUAUUUCACCAGCGCCUGCCUUCUGGCAAACAUUUCACAAGAGGAGUAUUUCACUGGGAAUUAGAGGUCAUUGUCUCAUGUGACAGCUCAAAAAUGUAAUCAUUCCUGAUCGGAGCUGGCUCAGACUGAAAGGAGAAGCAGGAGACUGGCGUGUAUGAAUGUAGGAGCAGCGAAACCGCUGUGGACCACAGGCCGCAAACAGCCAUACAGUGACCCCAGGCUUCACUAGCAGCAAGCUGCAGCACAGCAACUCUUCUUUGCUGUCCCUUGCCUGUAGUGUUUCAUUUCUGGUAUCUAAAAGCAGCAAAAUGGUUUAGGGACCAACUGAGUUGGAUGCAUUGCCAGGGUUUGGAUCCAGCCAUAAGCUCUGAUCUCCAUCUGUGUUCACAUCAAAUCAGAGCAGCCUGGAGUUUUGGAGCAGAAGGUUAUCAGGAUGAGGUCUGCUUCUCAUACCAUUGUGAAUGAAGUUGGUGCCUGUCUGGAUGCACAGCCACAAAUCAUUACAGAGGCAAGCAGUUAUGGUCAGAGAAACCAGAGAGGAAUUUAUUACAGUUACCUGAAGGUAAGUCAGGAAAUGCAUUGCUGGCAGAGCUUACACUUGAAUGAUUUGGACCAGGUGAUGGGCUGGAUAAAACCACCAUUUCUUAGCAGGUGUCAUAUGUUCAGUUACAAAUGAAAGUGCUGUAACACCCAGGCCUAAUUGUAGUGAACACAAACAAUCUUUCAAGCAAUAUAUGAAUAGAAGGUCUGUAUUCAAAUAACAGAUUAAUUGCUGACUGUGAUAAUUAGAUGUAUGCAGUGGCUUUUUUGUCCAGUUCUGCAGAAACUUUCUGAGUACAUUUCCUAGCCUCCAAGAAAGCUGCUUUCAUGCUGUGUUAUACUAUCAGUCCUUAUCGCCAACAACCUUAAUCCUGCUCUGGCUUGUCUGGACUGUGUGCUGCAGCAGGAGCUAGAAAACCUGGGAUGUUGCUUUACAGAAUGGUGGGUAGUGUUUUUAGGUGUCUUUGUAUACAAACAAAUACAGCUUAUUAAAGCUGGCUGCCCAAAGAGGUUUCUACCUCACUUUGCACACCCCACUCUUUUCUCAAGAGUUACAGGGAUUUCAGGUUACUUGAAAAGCUACAUUGGAAAUGGGCCUCAGGAGCUGCUUCACAUGCAGUUCAGUUCCUGCUGAUGGAGAUGGAACAAAUUUGGAGGGAGGCUUCUUCAUGCCAGCAUUGUAUUUGGUGGGAUGUUUCAGUUCAGCCAUCAGCUGCCUGCCAUACCAUGCAGCCCUGGCUGCCAGCUCGGAGGAGGAUCUGACUGCUUACUUACACAGAGGGGCUGGCACACAAACAUGUUCCUUCUUUGCUCAUCAACACAUUUUGCCUCCUAUGUUUCGAACCCAUAAGCUACAGUAUUGAGCCUAAAGGCAAGAAUAGCUUUUCAGAGUCUGUGCAGCCAUCUAGUGUUACUGUAUGUAUAGUGCACCGGUUAACAUCUGAGCCCUGGCUCAUCGUAGAGCUUUCUUCCUGCACGUCUCCCAGCUGAAUGUUUAACUUUAAGUUAGAGGAGAUUCAGUUAAACUUCCUAAUCUACUAAUCCUGACGACCUCUGAAACUUUUGACCACCUAAAGGCUGUGCAUAUGGAUGGAAAGAGAGACUUCUGCUUCAGUAUCUCUUUUAGACAGAUAGCGCGGGUUACUUCUGUCAGGAAGAGCAAAUGCAAGAUGCCUUGGAUGCUGAUGCAUUUUAGCAGCACUAAUUCUCAAGAAAA